rnacentral:rRNA from 1 species
AAAACUAGCCAGUCUUUUGAGUAUGAAACCCAUUUGGGCGAGAGUAGUACUAGGAUGGGUGACCUCCUGGGAAGUCCUCGUGAAAGGGUUU